rnacentral:rRNA from 1 species
AUACGGAGGAUGCGAGCGUUAUCCGGAUUUAUUGGGUUUAAAGGGUGCGUAGGCUGUUUGUCAAGUCAGGGGUGAAAUACCUGGGCUCAACCGAGGAAUUGCCUUUGAUACUGGCAGGCUUGAAUACUGUUGCCGUGGGAGGAAUGAGUAGUGUAGCGGUGAAAUGCAUAGAUAUUACUCAGAACACCGAUUGCGAAGGCAUCUCACGAAACAGCGAUUGACGCUGAGGCACGAAAGCGUGGGGAUCAAACAGGAUUAGAUACCCUGGUAGUCCGCGCAGUAAACGAUGAUAACUAACCGUUGGCGAUAGACAGUCAGUGGCCAAGCGAAAGCGAUAAGUUAUCCACCUGGGGAGUACGACCGCAAGGUUGAAACUCAAAUGAAUUGACGGGG